GCGAUUCAACCCACCAUCCGAUCAGAUUUGCAAAAAAAAAACAGACACGGCCACACACACGGGCCGCCUCCUCUCCCUCUCGCCCACGAAGUCCUCGCCGCCGCCACCACCCAUGCCGGCCACUUCCGGUGAGCUCCGGCGACGCGCAGCACGCUCCCGAGCUCCCCACGGUCCACGCCUCCCUCCCCUCCGGACAGAUUCUCUGCUUCCGGCCUCUACUGCCCGCUCGCAACCCCACCCCCGUGGCUAGGGUUUCGGCCAAGGCUUCGCCGGCGCAUCUCCGGCGGCCCCAGAUGCAGAUGUAGCACCCCAUGGGAGUUCCCCAUCCACCACGGUGGCAGAUUCUUCAUGCAGAUGUGAUGCAAAAGAAGCACAAUAGUUCAGUGAUGAUUAGGUUUGUUUUUUCCCAGCUGAGAAUUUGAGGUUGUGUGUAUACACUGUCAACAAUAUUUUCAGAAACAAAAUAAUCGUGUACAUCCUUGUAUGGGGAAAGGUGGGUUGUAUAAGCGUGGACAUUAAUCUUCACUUUAUGUGCUAUAUAAGCAUGGACAUUACGUAGUCAAUUUAGCCAGAUAUAGAAUUCGUUACAGUAUUACAUUUACAAAAGGAAUAUAGAAGGUCACAUAUCAUUUUAGUUGUAAUUAUUCAAAUGCCUGACACAAGGUUCAGUAGGAAUAACAUUAUGAUGUUCCAAAUAUGCAGCGACAUGACUAAAGCUCAAAUUUCUAAAGUGGUUGUCGUGCUUGCCGUAACAGCGUUGAUGUUUUCACAUUUCCUCAAUUUAUUGGUAAGUUUGGAUGUUGUAGACUGAUCCCCUUUGGCAAGUCAUGUUUGCCUGCAGGGUGAUGAUGUUUAUGCAUCUAGGGAACCAUGGAGAUGUUAACAUGUGAUAUUUCCUCAAGUAAACUAAGUUCUUUUGCAAUUUGCUGCUCAAGUUGUGGCUCUCCUGCAGGGCAAAUCUUCCCAACAAGAAGCAUAACAGAGGCCUCUCUUUCAAUGUUUGAAGAUUGGUUAUCUAAUAACUGGCCAUCAGAGGGAGAAAUUCAGCUCCAUAACCUCCAUGUAAAUACCAUCAUCUAUUUUCCCUCUCGCCCACUUCUGUUACGUAUUUACAUUUUUGUGUUGGCAUGUUCUAAAGAAGCUGCACCUUUUUUCCCCUUGUGAGUAAAUUGCCAGAAAUCUAAACUCAUGGGCAAAUGAACUAUUUGAUUCAGUGAUUUGCCAGAUCAACAACAAAAUAUUACUAAGUAGCUCAUGUCAUUAACUUUUUAAUAAUGAUGCACAUGAGAUAUACUCCAAGGUAUGCAGAUAGGUAUUUUUGGUAGAAUAUGUAGUGGUAAAUCAACUCUCAUGCAUGCCCUUUUCUGUAUCAUGUGUCCUACUAUCGGUUAGAUAAUAGUAGACAUCGUCGACAUUGGCACCAUUGGGUUGUACGAUCUGAUUUCUAGAUUGGCCAUCAUCAAUGUUCGAUCGAACUGUGAGAAACAACCUUGACCCUCUAGGAGAGUACACUGACAAUCAAAUCUAGGAGGUAGUCUUGAUAUUCACAUGCUCAUUGCUUGUCAUUUCUCAAAUUACUAAACAAUCACUUAAAAAAUCUAUUUGUCUUGGCUCGAAGUAUGAAUCUGUUGCUCGUAAUUGUUUUUUAGUUCGAUAUGUCUUCACAUUCAUACAAUUCUAUGAACCUACGUGUUCCCAUUGAUACUUUGUAAAUCUUGUACUAGUUACUACGGCUUUGUGCAUUUCUCAAAUACAGAGGCCCUCCAAUCUUCUUAACUUUCUAAUAAUGACUGAAAAUUGUUAUUCUACAUUUCAACCAUCGGUCACUAUCAGUUAGGAGUUGAAGUUCGGAGAAAGGGGCUAAAACAUGAUUCGCCAGCUCUGCUUUACUCGUACCAUAGAGUUCAUAUUCUGGUAGUUUUGGUGCUUCUGAAAUUGCUGAUAAAUUCCAAAUUGCCCUUGAAGUGGUAGAGAGUGGAGAGAACUGGUGUGUGGGCCAGUGUCAGCCCGUCUGUCUCAGUUGGGUGAUUCUGAGACGGACCAAGAUACUGGUUCUGCCACUGUUUCGGUGGACUUGCAACUUGCAACAGAUAACCUGAUACCGGACACACCACAACAGCAUUACUCAGGGGUGAUUGGCAUGACGAUCGUGCAUCGAAUCACCUUGGUCCUUCAGAGCGAAAUACUCUAGCUUCUUGACUAUGGUGGUACAGUCUGGGGAACGAUUUUCUGUACAAGAGGAGGUCAAAAAAGGCAUUGCUUAUUGUACAUUAGAUUCUACAGGCAGGGGACCUUCAGCUUUGUAGUACUCCUGUUGUUUCAUGAAGCUUCAGAUUAUAUUACUAUAUUUUCCCUUGAUUGUAAGAAAAUCAAGCAUACACUAAUAAAAUUAAGCAUAUAAUACAUAGUAAUUUAAUCUGAAGCUUCAUCAAACACUGGCAACAAUACGUAGUCUCUCCAAGGCCUAUAUAGGUAUGUUUAUCUUGCUGUUUCAGGUUAGAAUAAUGAUUUUAAGCCAUGUAGAUAACCUUCAACUAGCAAUGCCAAUCAUAUAACCCUUGAGCAUGUGACAGAGUUUUCACCCUCACCAUGUCCAGUGACGUUGCUAGCAGGAGUAAGAUGUUUGGGUUGGCGGAGUCGGCGGCCGGUAGUAAAGCAAGGGUGUUGUGUUACAAAUUUUUCAUCAAGAAAUUCACAUAGGAAUAUAUUUUUUCCUUCAAUAAUGACCCUUUAUAUUUUUAGUACUUUCAAUAUUGUUUCGCUCAAAUAAAAGUAUGUUUUGCUACUUACAAAAUUGUAUCCUUGUGAAGAAGUAGUUGCUUUUUUACUUACAUUGAGAGAAGGUUUAUCUUCAGUGUAUAUAAAUUCCAUGUCCUUUGCAAUAUUUGGCCGCCUUGAAUGAUGCACAUGCUGACCUUCUAUGUUUGUAUGUUGGGUGGAGUCAAGCCCCUACAUGCAGUAGAAGAAUCAUAUUUAAGGGUUGUGGUUCAGAGUUUUUCCAUGUAUGUUGGUGAAGUCAUGCAAGUGAAGCACCUCAUUGUCCCCUAUAUUUUUUUGACUUGUUUGUCUAUGUACGUUGGGUGAAGUCAUGCAAGUGAAGUGAUAAAUUUUUCCGAUUUGUUUGUCUAUGUAUGUUGAGUGAAGUCAGUGAAGAAGUUCAUUUUGUUCGUUCUUUAGAAAUUUAUUUUGUUUUGUUUCUGAUUAACAGGUAAUACUGUCAAGUUUAGAGUGCCUCCUAAAAGUUUGUGUUUACUUUACCGUUUCUUCAUGAUGAAUUUACAAUACACGACGAUCGAAUAACUGCCCUGUAGCUACUAGAAUUUUUUGAAUUGCUAUGAUGGAUUUUACUGUACUGUAGUACUCAAAGAAGUCUACUUGUUUCUGUUGUCGUAGUAAAUUAUGGUUAAUUGAUGACUAACCUGAUGAUGGAUUUAGUGUCCUGUAGCUUCUAUAAUUUACAGUACCAUAAUUUUUUUGAUUGUUUGAAUUUACAGUGACCUCCUGCUUGAAUUUACACUACCUUGUUCGAAGAUUUACAAUCCUAUAACUUCUGUAAUUUACAGCAGUACCAUAAAGGUUGUGAUUGUUGUAUUUUACAGUGACCUGGUAUAGAUUUUACAGUAUACAGUUACCUUAAUUUACAGUGCUACAUUUUUCUGAACUAUUGGUGUUCUAGACAUGUUUUGAUGAUGCUCUUAGGUGUUGAUCUUCUUGUACUGGAAGAACUAUUUGGAGGAGAUUGCGAGAGUACGGACCUGCAGUUUGUCUUCUUGGUGUGACUGUAGUUUCCUGAUUGUGUAGCUAUUCUGUCCCCUUCUUCCUCCAUCCUCUUUCUCGUUCUUAUCUGAUCAUAAAGCACACAUUGUUACUGGUUGUUUCUCCUUAUUUUACGGAAGUUCCAGUAUCUUUGUUGUGAUCUGGUUGUUACUGACUGGAAUUUUAGUAAAACGAACACUGUAAAAUUCAUCAAAGCUCGAUACGCUUUAAAGUUAUUGUUUAUCAUAGUGAGUUGACUGUAAAUUUCAGUCGAAAAAACUGUAUUUAAAGCUUCAUGACGAUGAAAUAUUUAGUAUGUGAUUAGUUCAUAAUGUGUUGAUCAUUGUACAGCAGGUUGAUGCGAAUGAUGAAUUAUAGUAUGUUUGUGUUCA